AGGAUGAACGCUGGCGGCGUGCCUAACACAUGCAAGUCGAACGUCCUGUCUCGCAAGAGGCAGGGAGUGGCGGACGGGUGAGUACCACGUGGGUCAUCUACCGUGAGGUGAGGAAUACCGGCGAGAAAUCGCCGACAAGACCGCAUAGCCUCGGUGCAAGUCGAGGAAAGCUCUCUCGAGAGAGGGAGCGCCACACGAGGAGCCUGCGCCCGAUUAGCUAGCUGGUGGAGUAAUGGUUCACCAGGGCGACGAUCGGUAGCUGGUCUGAGAGGACGAUCAGCCACACUGGGAUUGAGAACGGCCCAGACUCCUACGGGGGGCAGCAGUGAGGAAUUUUCGUCAAUGGGGGCAACCCUGAACGAGCAACGCCGCGUGCAGGAAGAAGGUUUUCGGAUCGUAAACUGUCUUUUCGUCGGGGAAGAGAACGGACGGUACCCGAGGAAUCAGCCCGGCUCACUACGUGCCAGCAGCCGC
rnacentral:rRNA from 1 species